rnacentral:piRNA from 1 species
CUCUAUGGAAUCUGAGUACUACAG